UUUUUGUUGUUUAAGUCUGUAUAGACAUCAUUUGAUUGAUGAUAAACAACCAGUUUUGAUUGAUUGAAUCUUUCAGGGUCUCUAUCUCGAAUACCAAAAGAUGAAUCUCUAAACAUCACCUUGAAAGUUCUUCAAUGUAAAGUUCUUAGCAUAUCUCCUAUUAAGCUAUGGAUUACAACAAGAAUAUUGAAUUUGUAGCUAUGGAUCACUAAACAUGUACAACUCUCGUGGAGCUGUUGAGGAAGUUGACAUCUUUAGUGAUACCUCUAAGUGUAAAAUAAGAAUUAAGGGAAGAGGACCUGGCAGGUUUGGAGCUUACUUUAGUACAAAACCCAAGUCUUGCUCGGUAAACUCUUGAAGUACUGAGGAUUUUAAGUACAGAAAUGAAGACAAUCUUUUGACAGUAACAAUUCCAAGCACAAUCAGUAACUGGGAUAUCACUCUUCACUAUUGAGAUCCUCUCAAUUUUUACAAGGCAAAGCCUCAACUGCAAGAAAAACAAUGGUUUGGUUUUUCCAAGUGUGACUCGAGAAGAAAGACCAUGUGAUGAUUUGAUUAUGUGGGAAAAGAGGGUGAGGGACUCACCACAUAGCUAAUUACAUGACUGAUGAAAAGUUGACUCAUUUGAAAAUGCACAUUGGAACAUUCAUUCUCGUCAAUCAUCACUGUAGUGUUUGAUAUGAUAUGUAUAUAAUUAGGUUGUAGAGUAGUUUUGGAUAAAUACACUAAGUUGGAGGCCCCUUAUAUGAUUGCCUCUUAACUUUUCAUCUUGGUUUCAUGCUAGAUUAAUCACAAGUGAAGGAUUAGUAAUAGUUAGUAAUAAUCUCGCUGUCUUACUAUGGUGUUGUAGAAAUGAAGGUUGUAAUUGAAGGAAUUAACUUAUGUAAUUUCAGCUCCAAUAUCAUACUUA